rnacentral:rRNA from 1 species
GACGAACGCUGGCGGCGUGCCUAAUACAUGUAAGUUGAGCGCUGAAGGUUGGUACUUGUACCGACUGGAUGAGCAGCGAACGGGUGAGUAACGCGUGGGGAAUCUGCCUUUGAGCGGGGGACAACAUUUGGAAACGAAUGCUAAUACCGCAUAAAAACUUUAAACACAAGUUUUAAGUUUGAAAGAUGCAAUUGCAUCACCCAAAGAUGAUCCCGCGUUGUAUUAGCUAGUUGGUGAGGUAAAGGCUCACCAAGGCGAUGAUACAUAGCCGACCGGAGAGGGUGAUCGGCCACAUUGGGACUGAGACACGGCCCAAACUCCUACGGGAGGCAGCAGUAGGGAAUCUUCGGCAAUGGACGAAAGUCUGACCGAGCAACGCCGCGUGAGUGAAGAAGGUUUUCGGAUCGUAAAACUCUGUUGGCAGAGAAGAACGUUGGUGAGAGUGGAAAGCUCAUCAAGUGACGGUAACUACUCAGAAAGGGACGGCUAACUACGUG